rnacentral:rRNA from 1 species
CAAUAGCGUAUAUUAAAGUUGUUGCAGUUAAAAAGCUCGUAGUUGAAUUUCGGGUCCCCGCGCUCGGCGCUUCAUUGUGCCGUCGUGGUGUCCCUCCUCGCCGUGAGGCGUCCUUUACUGUGAAAAAAUUAGAGUGUUCAAAGCAGGCAAUCGCUUGAAUACAUUAGCAUGGAAUAAUAAGAUAGGAUCUUGUCUAUUUUGUUGGUUGCGGACAACGAUAAUGAUUAAUAGGGAUAGUUGGGGGUGUCCGUAUUGAGCUGUCAGAGGUGAAAUUCUUGGAUUUGCUCAAGACGAACUACUGCGAAAGCAUUCACCAAGGAUGUUUUCAUUAA